rnacentral:tRNA from 1 species
GCCGCGGUGGUGGAACGGUAGACACCCAGGACUCAAAAUCCUGCGAGCGCAAGCUCAUGAGAGUUCGAUUCUCUCCCGCGGCA